rnacentral:rRNA from 1 species
GACGCUGGCGGCAGGCCUAACACAUGCAAGUCGAGCGCGCCUUCGGGCGAGCGGCGGACGGGUUAGUAACGCGUGGGAACGUGCCCAGAUCUACGGAAUAGCCACUGGAAACGGUGAGUAAUACCUGUAUACGCCCUUCGGGGGAAAGAUUUAUCGGAUUUGGAUCGGCCCGCGUUAGAUUAGGUAGUUGGUGGGGUAACUGGCCUACCAAGCCUACGAUCUAUAGCUGGUUUUAGAGGAUGAUCAGCAACACUGGGACUGAGACACGGCCCAGACUCCUACGGGAGGCAGCAGUGGGGAAUCUUGGACAAUGGGGGCAACCCUGAUCCAGCCAUGCCGCGUGAGUGAAGAAGGCCCUAGGGUCGUAAAACUCUUUCGCCUGUGAUGAUAAUGACAGUAGCAGGUAAAGAAACCCCGGCUAACUCCGUGCCAGCAGCCGCGGUAAUACGGAGGGGGUUAAGCCGUUGAAAGCC